rnacentral:rRNA from 1 species
AUGAAGAACACCAAGCUCGUGGCAAUCCUUGUUCUCCAAGCCAUCCUAGUCAUGGGAAUCCUUGCACAUGUGAAUGCCAACUACUUCCCCAUAUGUUGCAACGAAUGCAGGUCCUUCUCAGGGGUGGUCAUCUGUGACGACGCCCAUCCUCAGUGCCCCAAGGGCUGCUCCACAUGCCGCCCGGUGCAGACGGGCAGUGUCAAGAUGUUGCAGUGCGCCGACAUGCGCUCCACCAUCAAUGGCACACGCGAUCCACGCUGCAAGAAGAACUAA